CCGCGUAAGCUAAAAAGAUUGGUUGCUAACUGUGCCAGCCCUGGGUUCUCUGGACUCCUUAGGGUCCAUAGGGGACCUUCACAAGUGCCUUUCAGGGGACUCUGAGAAAUUACUAUCCUCCUAGCCCCAGGUUAAAAUAGGCAUAAAUGAAGAUUUCAGCAGAGAAGACGUAGCACCAGGAUCAUAGCCCGUUGAUAGGCAAGACAUGAAUUCUAUCCCAGAUUAGAAACAGCAUAAAAAAUAAGAGUAACUUUUUCACAACCCUCAAACCUUACUACGUAUAUUAUUAUUUCUUUUUAAACCCCUCCCUUAACAUAGCUCAGUAAUUAUAUGAGUAGUAUAAAUUUUGCCUUAUGAUUUGCCGUAUGUGGUUCUCUUGCUCGCAUAAUUAAAACUACAUAUUUGAUUAAGUGUU